AGAGUUUGAUCCUGGCUCAGAAUCAACGCUGNGGCAUGCCUAACACAUGCAAGUCGAACGCGGUUACUCCGCAAGGAGUGACUGAGUGGCGAACGGGUGAGUAACGCGUGGGUGACCUACCUUCGAGUGGGGGAUAACGUCCCGAAAGGGACGCUAAUACCGCAUGACAUCCUGUCCUUGAACGGAUGGAGAUCAAAGCUGGGGAUCGCAAGANACCGGCGCUUGAUGAGGGGCCCGCGUCCGAUUAGCUAGUUGUGAGGUAACGGGCCACCAAGGCACACGAUCGGUAUCCGGCCUGAGANGGCGGACGGACACACUGGGACUGAGACACGGGCCAGACUCCUACGGGAGGCAGCAGNUGGGGAAUUGUUCGCAAUGGGCGCAAGCCUGACGACGCAAUGCCGACGUGGAGGAUGAACGGUCUUCGGAUUGUAAACUCNC
rnacentral:rRNA from 1 species